GCUGCGUCUCUCCCCCAGAGCUCGCAGGCGGUAGAGGCAUCCACUCUGGUAGUAGUACUGCAAGAACUGCACCACACCUGCAGGCCGCCGCAUCGCACACAAGCGGCCACACCACACACACAGGACCUCGGGGCUGUUGCUGGAAGUGGGAUCCCCGUCGUGCUGCUCAAGUUCAUCGUCGUCAUCAUCUCCUCGUCGUCGUCUCCGUCUUCACCAUCCCGGGGCGCUGCUGGUCAGACAGCCUACCAACUGUUCUAACCAAGUAGUGCCGCCGACAAUAGACGGUCUUAAUGAUAGUGUGCACCCACGUAGGGUGGUGUUAUCCCGAUGGUGCUUGUUAAAUAAAAUAAGCGCCUCCAAGUC